ensembl:processed_transcript Snhg4 small nucleolar RNA host gene 4
AACCGCCCCAGGGCGGGGCUCCCGCCGGCUCCCGGCUGCCCUUUCCACCGCGGCCUCUGCCGAGGUUGGUGUGUCCUGCGGAGCUCCGAGCACGUGCGGUGGCCAGCUGCCAGUUUGAGGCGAUGUCUGCCCUGGAUGACUUGAAAGUAGGGUGGUCUUCACCAGGCUAAAAGAAGUAAUGAUCCAUAACAGGGUGCACUGUGGUUCUAGAUCUGAAUGAGAUCGCGUUCAUCAGGACUUCAGGUUUCUGACAACACUGUUUUGAGUAAUGUAUAUAUGGUCUCUGUAAUGUAGAGGUACUUCAGUUCAGAUGGGGAAAGUUGAGUUUGCUUUAGAGGAUUGCAGAACUGUGAUGUAAUUCCAGAGAAUGCUUGUCAAGUCCAGCUACGCUUUGGCAGAUGAGGCAGUGAGAGAGCUCACCCAUGGCCACUGAGCUGCAUAUCUAGCUAUAAUUUUUAGAGGGACUAGAUGGUGUCUGUGGACUACAUGUGGCCGGCUACUUGCUAAUUAAAAAGGGAUUUCAGACAUCUAUGUGGAUGGUAGCCAUCUUAGGACAGCUUAGAAUGUUUAGGAUAUUGCUUUUUAAAAGCAAAGUUUUAUAUAAAGGUUCCUAUAAUGGCCCAGAUAGUAAAUAUUAAUACUGUCUUUGGUUUUGCAACUAUGUUGCUUUUGUGUGAAAAAUAGUGAACUUGGUUUUUUUGUGUCAUCAAAUAAAUGAACUUGGUUAUAUUCCAAUAAAACAUAACUGAUAAACACUUGACAUUGGAAUUUCAUUGGCAUUUUCAGAGUCAACAUUCCCAAGUAUUUGAAAGUUUGAAAAUUUCCCAAAGGACAUUGACAAAGAGAUAGCAGAAUAGGAUUAGUAACAUUUCUGACUUCUGGAGUUUAGGUCUUGAGGCUUCAAUGUUUUAUUUGUUUUGUUGGGGGAAGUUGGAGAGACAGUUCAUCAGUUAGAAGGCCUGGCUGCUCUUCCAGAGGACCUAGGUGGUUCACAACCAUCUUUAGGUUCAGACCGAGGGAAUCUGAUGGCUUCUGUGGUGCAUAGGCAAAACACCAAUUCACGUGCAAAUAAAAAGCUUUGAAAUUUAUAUUUGUUUUAUGUGUAGGUGCUCUUUCCUGCAUUUAUCUAUGUCCUCUUUGUUUCUGGCACCCAUGAGGUCACCCUAGAACUGAGAAUAAAAAUAGGAUGU